GGGAUUAAAUUAAACUUACAGUUAAGGGAUUAAAUACACAUACUACAACAGUGAACACAUGUGGAUUAAAACAUAAAACACACUUCAACUUGUUUGGGUUAAAUCUUAAAGUAAUUAACAAAACAAGAGAUACAAUUGAUAUAUUGCGGUCAGCGGAAACCUUGCAUUUUCGUGGAUAUGUGAUUUAGUGGUCUGUCAAAAUCUAGAUACAAUUUAAAGAAAUUUGUAUUUCGUUGAAAAUUUAAAUUUGUGGAUAAAAUCUGUAUACAUUCAUUACCACAUACCUAUUUAGUUCAUCCAAAUGUCAAAAUCAAAGUGAGUGAUUUGUAAGCACAGAAGUGUAAAUAUAUGCUUUACUUUAUCCUUGGGGAGUAAAAUCAAAUAUUUCGUUGUCAAUGAAGCUAGUCAAUUCAACUGCUAUCUGGAGAAUGGGAUAUAACUUAAAUCUCUAAGGUUGAUUUUAACAAUGACAUAAUUUAUAUUUUUAGAACAGAUAUUAGAUUCCUGCACCUCGCAAAAGCUUUGUAAUUUUCUUGACAUGUGGAACAUUGUUUUGAGACUUGAAUAUCUGAGCAUAUAGCAAAUUCAUAAUUUUCUGGAAAUGUUCAUGGAAAGGAUGUAUAUUAUGUUAAGAUCAACGCAUUAUAUUUUGUGUAUCAAAAAGGUAGUGAUAACCCUUGAAUGGAUUUAUA
rnacentral:lncRNA from 1 species